rnacentral:lncRNA from 1 species
GGGGGGAAGUGAUUUUAAAAUUAAGGAAGGGAAAAGAAAAGUGCACCCCGAAACUGUCUCUCAGGGGAGGACACCUCAGCAGUAGCGCAUGAGAAAUGGGG